rnacentral:rRNA from 1 species
GACGAAGGAUGCAAGCGUUAUCCGGAUUCAUUGGGUUUAAAGGGAGCGUAGGUGGCCUGGUAAGUCAGUGGUGAAAUCUUCUCGCUUAACGAGAAAACUGCCAUUGAUACUGCUAGGCUUGAGUACAGAUGCCGUUGGCGGAAUAUGACAUGUAGUGGUGAAAUACAUAGAGAUGUCAUAGAACACCGAUUGCGAAGGCAGCUAACGAAACUGUAACUGACACUGAGGCACGAAAGUGUGGGGAUCAAACAGG